rnacentral:rRNA from 1 species
UACGAAGGGGGCUAGCGUUGCUCGGAAUCACUGGGCGUAAAGGGUGCGUAGGCGGGUCUUUUAAGUCAGGGGUGAAAUCCUGGAGCUCAACUCCAGAACUGCCUUUGAUACUGAAGAUCUUGAGUUCGGGAGAGGUGAGUGGAACUGCGAGUGUAGAGGUGAAAUUCGUAGAUAUUCGCAAGAACACCAGUGGCGGAAGGCGGCUCACUGGCCCGAUACUGACGCUGAGGCACGGAAAGCGUGGGGAGCAAACAGGG